rnacentral:rRNA from 1 species
AACGAACGCUGGCGGCAGGCCUAACACAUGCAAGUCGAGCGAGGACUUCGGUCCUAGCGGCGGACGGGUGAGUAACGCGUGGGAACGUGCCCUUUGCUUCGGAAUAGCCCUGGGAAACUGGGAGUAAUACCGGAUGAGCCCUUUGGGGGAAAGAUUUAUCGGCGAAGGAUCGGCCCGCGUUGGAUUAGGUAGUUGGUGGGGUAAUGGCCUACCAAGCCGACGAUCCAUAGCUGGUGUGAGAGGAUGAUCAGCCACACUGGGACUGAGACACGGCCCAGACUCCUACGGGAGGCAGCAGUGGGGAAUCUUAGACAAUGGGGGAAACCCUGAUCUAGCCAUGCCGCGUGAACGAUGAAGGCCUUAGGGUUGUAAAGCUCUUUCAGCUGGGAAGAUAAUGACGGUACCAGCAGAAGAAGCCCCGGCUAACUCCGUG